AGUGAACGCUGGCGGUGGGCCUAACGCAUGCAAGUCGAACGACAGCACAGGAAGAUCUUGCUCUUACGGGUGGCGAGUGGCGGACGGGUGAGAAAUACAUCGGAAUCUACUUUUUCGUGGGGGAUAACGUAGGAAAGGUACUCAUACCGCAUAAUAUAUCUAACGGUAUAAACCAGUAGUGAUCGAAGCUUUUGCUGUUACAUUUAGCUGGAUCCGAGUAGCAUUAGCUAGUUGGUAAGGUAAAGGCCUACCAAGGCCACGAUCCGUAGCGGGCCUGAGAGGAUGAUCAGCCACACUGGAACUGAGACACGGUCCAGACUCCUACGGGAGGCAGCAGUGGGGAAUAUUGGACAAUGGGCGAAAGCCUGAUCCAGCAAUACCGCGUGAGUGAAGAAGGUCUUCGGGUUGUAAAGCUCUUUUGUUGGGAAAGAAAAGCAGCAGGUUAAUCUAUCGAUGUUCUGACGGUACCCAAAGAAUAAGCACCGGCUAACUUCGUG
rnacentral:rRNA from 1 species